rnacentral:rRNA from 1 species
UAGGGAAUAUUGGACAAUGGGGGGAACCCUGAUCCAGCUAUGCCGCGUGGAGGAAGACUGCCCUCUGGGUUGUAAACUCCUUUUAUAUGGGAAGAACCGUCCUCAUUGAUGAGUGACCUGACGGUACCAUAGGAAUAAGCACCGGCUAACUCCGUGCCAGCAGCCGCGGUAAUACGGAGGGUGCAAGCGUUAUCCGGAUUCACUGGGUUUAAAGGGCGCGCAGGCGGGAUAAAAAGUCAGUGGUGAAAUCCUACAGCUUAACUGUAGAACUGCCUUUGAUACUUUUAUUCUUGAGUUCGGGAGAGAGACGUAAUUCCAGGUGUAGUGGUGAAAUACGUAGAUAUCUGGAAGAACACCAGUUGCGAAUGCGGUCUCUUGGUCCGACACUGACGCUGAGGCGCGAAAG